GGAAUUUCCUCAAAUUGUUUUGAGGAUGAUUCAGUAGAACUUACCAAUGAAUAUGCGGAAUACGCAAAAUCCGAAGCUCCGAAGUUCACUCCAUCGAAAACAAACGCCAGUGAGUUUAUUGGCUGUGUAGCUGCAACGAACUGAUCAAAGGACAAGAAUCAGACGAGUUCAUCAUUGUGCAUUAGAAGGAAGAAAACAAGAUGAUGCAGAUUUUGUUAUGCAAGUGCAUGGGGGUUAUCUUUGAAGCAGCAAGAAAAUUUCCGUCCAAUUUGUAUGUUUUUAAUUCAUUUCUUACCUGCAAAACUCUGGUAGCUGUUGCUGUUGUCUUUUCAUAGUCUUUCUCUGCAAAUGCACUGGCUAGAAUUGCCUAAAGAACAAGUAGGAAUCAAAUACCAUAAAAGCUACUGCUAAACCAUCAGACAAUAAAGAGGAUGUCAUCCAAACUUGCAAGCAAGUUUGGAAUGCAGCCAUGGGUGUUGGGCCCAGCCUUGCAGCUAAUGAUGCUGCUAGAGUCACACAGAAGGUAACUGCUACAACUCUUGC